rnacentral:lncRNA from 1 species
ACAGUUAUCUCUUAUCGUCUUCUCUGAUACAUCAAUCUAUGGAGGCAUCCAUCGGCUUCGACGACUCCACCCUCGACCUCAUCCGUCAAUGCCUCCUCGGCGACCUUCCCCAGCCCGAUUCCCCCGGCCUGGCCCCCGCCUUCCCCUGCGACGGUGCCUGUCGUUUCCCCGAACCGGCGCUAGGCCGCCGGCCGUCGCUGACGAUAUCCGUGCCGCCGCGGCCGGUGGGAGCGGCGGCGGAUUGCGACGAAUUGAAGCGGUACCGCGGGGUCCGGCAGCGGCCGUGGGGGAAGUUCGCGGCGGAGAUCCGGGAUCCCGCCCGGCGGGGCGCGAGGGUCUGG